UGCAUGGUUGUCGUCAGCUCGUGUCGUGAGAUGUUGGGUUAAGUCCCGCAACGAGCGCAACCCUUGUCUUUAGUUGCCAUCAUUAAGUUGGGCACUCUAGAGAGACUGCCAGGGAUAACCUGGAGGAAGGUGGGGAUGACGUCAAAUCAUCAUGCCCCUUAUGCUUAGGGCUACACACGUGCUACAAUGGGUAGUACAGAGGGUUGCCAAGCCGUAAGGUGGAGCUAAUCCCUUAAAGCUACUCUCAGUUCGGAUUGUAGGCUGAAACUCGCCUACAUGAAGCUGGAGUUACUAGUAAUCGCAGAUCAGAAUGCUGCGGUGAAUGCGUUCCCGGGUCUUGUACACACCGCCCGUCACACCACGGGAGUUGGAGACGCCCGAAGCCGAUUAUCUAACCUUUUGGAAGAAG
rnacentral:rRNA from 1 species